rnacentral:rRNA from 1 species
AGAGUUUGAUCCUGGCUCAGAUUGAACGCUGGCGGCAGGCCUAACACAUGCAAGUCGAGCGGAUGAGGGGUGCUUGCACCCCGAUUCAGCGGCGGACGGGUGAGUAAUGCCUAGGAAUCUGCCCGAUAGUGGGGGACAACGUUUCGAAAGGAACGCUAAUACCGCAUACGUCCUACGGGAGAAAGUGGGGGCUCUUCGGACCUCACGCUAUCGGAUGAGCCUAGGUCGGAUUAGCUAGUUGGUGGGGUAAAGGCCCACCAAGGCGACGAUCCGUAACUGGUCUGAGAGGAUGAUCAGUCACACUGGAACUGAGACACGGUCCAGACUCCUACGGGAGGCAGCAGUGGGGAAUAUUGGACAAUGGGCGAAAGCCUGAUCCAGCCAUGCCGCGUGUGUGAAGAAGGUCUUCGGAUUGUAAAGCACUUUAAGUCGGGAGGAAGGGCUGUAGGUUAAUACCCUGCGGUUUUGACGUUACCGACAGAAUAAGCACCGGCUAACUUCGUGCCAGCAGCCGCGGUAAUACGAAGGGUGCAAGCGUUAAUCGGAAUUACUGGGCGUAAAGCGCGCGUAGGUGGUUUGGUAAGUUGGAUGUGAAAGCCCCGGGCUCAACCUGGGAACUGCAUCCAAAACUGCCUGACUAGAGUACGGUAGAGGGUGGUGGAAUUUCCUGUGUAGCGGUGAAAUGCGUAGAUAUAGGAAGGAACACCAGUGGCGAAGGCGACCACCUGGACUGAUACUGACACUGAGGUGCGAAAGCGUGGGGAGCAAACAGGAUUAGAUACCCUGGUAGUCCACGCCGUAAACGAUGUCGACUAGCCGUUGGGCUCCUUGAGAGCUUAGUGGCGCAGCUAACGCAUUAAGUCGACCGCCUGGGGAGUACGGCCGCAAGGUUAAAACUUAAAUGAAUUGACGG